rnacentral:rRNA from 1 species
AGGAUGAACGCUAGCGGCAGGCUUAACACAUGCAAGUCGAGGGGUAACAGGGGUAGCAAUACCUGCUGACGACCGGCAAACGGGUGCGGAACACGUACGCAAUCUACCUUUAUCUGGGGGAUAGCCCGGAGAAAUCCGGAUUAACACCCCAUAGUAUAAUUGGUGUGGCAUCACACUAUUAUUAAAAAUUUAUUGGAUAGAGAUGAGCGUGCGUCCCAUUAGCUAGUUGGUAGGGUAACGGCCUACCAAGGCAACGAUGGGUAGCUGGUGUGAGAGCACGACCAGCCACACGGGCACUGAGACACGGGCCCGACUCCUACGGGAGGCAGCAGUGAGGAAUAUUGGUCAAUGGACGCAAGUCUGAACCAGCCAUGCCGCGUGAAGGAUGAAGGCCUUCUGGGUUGUAAACUUCUUUUACAUGGGAAGAAACCCCCGAUUUCUAUUGGGGUUGACGGUACCAUAGGAAUAAGCACCGGCUAACUCCGUGCCAGCAGCCGCGGU